rnacentral:rRNA from 1 species
GAUGAACGCUAGCGGCAGGCUUAACACAUGCAAGUCGAGGGGUAGGUUACUUCGGUAAUUGAGACCGGCGCACGGGUGCGUAACGCGUAUACAAUCUACCUUUUACAGAGGGAUAGCCCAGAGAAAUUUGGAUUAAUACCUCAUAGUAUUUUUGAAUCGCAUGAUUUGAUUAUUAAAGUUCCAACGGUAAAAGAUGAGUAUGCGUCCCAUUAGCUAGAUGGUAAGGUAACGGCUUACCAUGGCUACGAUGGGUAGGGGUCCUGAGAGGGAGAUCCCCCACACUGGUACUGAGACACGGACCAGACUCCUACGGGAGGCAGCAGUGAGGAAUAUUGGACAAUGGGCGCAAGCCUGAUCCCAGCCAUGCCGCGUGCAGGAAGAAGGUCCUAUGGAUUGUAAACUGCUUUUUAUACAGGAAGAAACACUCCGACGUGUCGGGAGCUUGACGGUACUGUAGGAAUAAGGAUCGGCUAACUCCGUGCCAGCA